GUGCUCGCUUCGGCAGCACAUAUACUAAAA
rnacentral:ncRNA from 2 species